rnacentral:rRNA from 1 species
CUACGUGCCAGCAGCCGCGGUAAUACGUAGGGCGCAAGCGUUGUCCGGAAUUAUUGGGCGUAAAGAGCUCGUAGGCGGCUGGUCGCGUCUGUCGUGAAAACUUCCGGCUCAACCGGGGGCUUGCGGUGGGUACGGGCCGGCUAGAGUGCGGUAGGGGUAACUGGAACUCCUGGUGUAGCGGUGGAAUGCGCAGAUAUCAGGAAGAACACCGAUGGCGAAGGCAGGUUACUGGGCCGUUACUGACGCUGAGGAGCGAAAGCGUGGGGAGCGAACAGGAUUAGAUACCCUGGUAGUCCACGCCGUAAACGUUGGGCACUAGGUGUGAGGCUCCUUUCCGGGGGUUUUGCGCCGUAGCUAACGCAUUAAGUGCCCCGCCUGGGGAGUACGGCCGCAAGGCUAAAACUCAAAGGAAUUGACGGGGGCCCGCACAAGCGGCGGAGCAUGCGGAUUAAUUCGAUGCAACGCGAAGAACCUUACCAAGGCUUGACAUGUUAACUGUGGCUCUAGAGAUAGG